rnacentral:rRNA from 2 species
GACUCUCGGCAACGGAUAUCUCGGCUCUCGCAUCGAUGAAGAACGUAGCAAAAUGCGAUACUUGGUGUGAAUUGCAGAAUCCCGUGAACCAUCGAGUCUUUGAACGCAAGUUGCGCCCGAAGCCAUUCGGUCGAGGGCACGCCUGCCUGGGCGUCACGCAUUG